AGUGAACGCUGGCGGUAGGCCUAACACAUGCAAGUCGAACGGCAGCACAGUAAGAGCUUGCUCUUACGGGUGGCGAGUGGCGGACGGGUGAGGAAUACAUCGGAAUCUACUUUUUCGUGGGGGAUAACGUAGGGAAACUUACGCUAAUACCGCAUACGACCUACGGGUGAAAGCAGGGGAUCUUCGGACCUUGCGCGAUUGAAUGAGCCGAUGUCGGAUUAGCUAGUUGGCGGGGUAAAGGCCCACCAAGGCGACGAUCCGUAGCUGGUCUGAGAGGAUGAUCAGCCACACUGGAACUGAGACACGGUCCAGACUCCUACGGGAGGCAGCAGUGGGGAAUAUUGGACAAUGGGCGCAAGCCUGAUCCAGCAAUGCCGCGUGAGUGAAGAAGGCCUUCGGGUUGUAAAGCCCUGUUGUUGGGAAAGAAAAGCAGCAGGUUAAUACCCCGCUGUUCUGACGGUACCCAAAGAAUAAGCACCGGCUAACUUCGUG
rnacentral:rRNA from 1 species